rnacentral:rRNA from 1 species
AUGGCGAGCGCGGGGGCUAGGCUAGCAUCCGGAGAUCUUGGCCCGGAGGAUGGUGCACUUGGUCUUCUGGAAGGAGGUGGCGGCGACGUCCGGGUCGACGAGCUGCAGGCUCACCGGGCAGAUGACGGCCAGCGGGCACUUGGUCUUGCGCCCCUUAUACUGCAUCACCGUGUCCAGCCGCACCUCCACCUCGAACCGGCCGGCUUCCUUCUGCCUGGCGAACUCCGCCGCGCCGGCCGGCGGCAGCUUCGGCAGCGCCCGGUCGACGCCGCCCACCUUGAGCCGCAGCGUGGUCUCCUUCCGGGCGCCGAGGUCCAGCGCCGCCACGGUGCCGGACUCGUCGAAGCGGGUGCCGUUGAAGGAGAAGGCCACCGCCAGGGUGCUGUAGCUGAUGGCGUAGUGCAGGUUCGGGUUGCGCAUCGACACGGUCGCCGUCGCGUUGUAGGACAGCAGCUGGAGCGGCGACUUGGCGGUGGUGGAAUUGGAGGCGUUGGGGGACGGGGCGAGGUCGAAGCGCGUGAGCAGGGCGUCCUCGGCCUUGGCCGUGGGCGGCUUGAUGACGGCGAAGGCGAGGAUGAGGACGACGAGGACGCCCCCGAGCACGAGCAGGAUCGCCGCCCAGAUGGCAAUCUUGGUCCAGUUCCACUCUUCGUACUCGCAGAUGCUGCCCAUGGCUCGCUUCGCCUGGAUGGUCGGAUGGGAACGGGGAGAGAAGCGUGGAGCUGGAGCGCGAAGUCCGGCGAGGAGGGGGAGGGGCCGGCCGGUGACCAGAAGAGAGGCUAG